GAAAUGCGAUAAGUAAUGUGAAUUGCAGAAUUCCGUGAAUCAUCGAAUCUUUGAAUGCACAUUGCGCCCUCUGGUAUUCCGAGGGGCAUGCCUGUCCGAGCGUCAUUGCGAACCCCUCAAGCACGGCUUGUGUGAUGGGCCCUCCCGCGUCUUGGUCGUCAAGACGGGCCCGAAAAGCAGUGGCGGCUUCGCGGUUAUCCGAUCAGCCAGAGCGUAUGGGGACUUUCUCUCUGUCACACGCCCGCGGCGCGGACCGACGCCUGUCGACCUUUAUUCAUCUUUUUCUCGGUUGACCUCGGAUCAGGUAGGGAUACCCGCUGAACUUAAGC
rnacentral:misc_RNA from 1 species